GGGCGGCUGGCCGGGCGAGGGAGGAAGAAGGGCGAGAGGCUCGGUUCCCAAAUCCACACCUACGAUGUAAUACAAGAGCUGGAGAAAACUAAAGGGCCAAAAUAUUUCCAAGUCCCUCGGAUGGUCGCGCCUGGCAGCUGAAGUCUUGCGCUGCUCAUCUGUUACCGACCGGGUUGCUCGAUGCACCUAAUUGUCCCGCGAUACCAGCGGCUCUGUAUACUGGUGGGAGGAGAUGGCAGCAGCACUGGAGUUCUUUUUCACUGAAGACUUCAGCAUCUGUUGCAAGAGACUGCUAGGUAAUAAAGAGAGAAUGACUGAACAUAUGAAAUGGAAGUCCACAAAUAGAAAUGCAUUGUGAUAUUUGCUGCAAAUAUAGCAGUUAUGCUCACUGAUCAAGCUGAUAUGCUGGAAUGGGAGUGAAGGAGAAUGAAGAAGUGCUGACCAGAGUGUGAGUUGUCCCUGAGAAUUUUCCUUACUCUUCUAAGGCAGCGAGCCCUAGCGAUGUCAUCUUGUAUCAAGGGACAGCACACAAUGUUUUGUGCUGUGCUCACCACCCUCUGUAAUGUCUUUCUAUCCAUGGCUGUCGAGCCGGCAUACCACACCGUAAUGCAAUGAGUGAGGACACUUUCUAUUGUGGACUGGUAAAAGGAGAUCAUCAGUUGUUGUUCCACUUUGUUUUUUUUGCAAGACCCUGAGGAAGUGGAGAGUCUGUUGGGCCUUGACGCUGCAACCAUCAUAAAUACAGUUCAAGCAAACUGCUGCAAAUGAGCUCACAACACCAAAUGCUACAACCUCGAAUCUCCACUUCCUGACUGUCUCCAAACUGGAACAUAUGCCCUGCAAGUGAAGACAACUCAGUAGCUGAAGAUGAUCAUUCAUGAGAAAGAGGGGAGGAUACCUUAAUGUUCUCUGAGUUGAAUUUGACUGCUGGUGACUUCAAAGACCUGUCCAUGCAUGUUCUCUGCGUAACAGCAUAGAAGAAAUUUACCAUGAUUGAUCAACCUCUAGUAGCCUUAUCCUGCUUAGCUACUUUUUGACCAAGGUGAUGCUGAAUGCUCCAAUGGAUAGAGACCUUGCAAAAAAAGCUGUGGUUCUUGCAAUUUUAAGCAAUUAAAAUAUCUUUAUUUGAAAUGGAACUCAAUUACAUGGGCGGCAAUAAGCAGAAAAGUGUGACUUAAAUGGCCAGAGUAAGUCCUCGUGAGCAUUUCAUAAUUACGAAACAAAUUGUUUUAUAAUUUAUUUAGGGUUGUUUACAUAAAAAACCCUAAAGUCUCCAAAAUGUGUAAUGGUGGUUGUAUCUCUCCAGUCUUAUUACAUUACUUAUUACAUUAGUUUUAAAUUCUUUCCUUAGUGUCCUCUUCCAAACUUUAGAUUCUAAUGCUUCUUCUAACUGAUAUAUAUGUUGGCAGAUAUAAAUCAAUACAAUGUCAAUCUACUUUUUUAUUUUAAAAAAAUAUUUCAGUUGUGAAAAUCUAAUGCAUCUGAAUACCAGAUGUUUAAUCUAAACAAGAGGAAGAUGUUGACUUUUCCUGCUAAUGCUGUAUUUGUAAAUUUCACAAAGACAUGCAUCUUACUCAUCACGGCCUAAUUGCGUUGAUAUACUUUCCUGUUUAUUGGGAGAAGACUGCAAGAGAAAUUAAAGUGAAAUUUGAAGAGGCAGCUUUCCAGUCUGGGCCAGCUGCUUCCCACUAGACUGCACUAAUACCAUGACAGCAUCUGUUUGGGGGCCAAGUAUCCAUAGCAGAGGCAAGGGAAGAAACAUAUAGAUUGUUCUUUAUAGUCAUUUUCUGAUCCUUUUUGCUUUAUAAUAAGGCAUGUCAUGGGAAAUUUCCUAAUCUUUAUUUUAUUAUUAUUGAAAGCAAGCUCCAGCUCUUAAUCCAGAUUAGUCGCAGUCAGAUUUGUAGGGCGAAAGCAUCUGAGAAUUAAUCCCCUCCUUCUGUUAUUGCAGCCAAGUUUCUCCAUAUUCUUUCUUUUUGCAGAAAAAAUUAAAAGUGGGGAAAUCCCUCCAAUGGGAUUGCCUUUAUUUUAUUUUGUCUAAUUCCUGGUCUGAUGGGCAGAUACUGGAGAGGGGGAAAAAAGGAAACUUAAUUCGAAUCUUGAUACUUUGGGAUGAGAAUAAACAUUUUUAUGCUGUUCGUUCAGUGUAAUAGGUUGCUUAGCCACUGAAGUGAUUCAAUGCUGUAUUACAACAAGAUAGUUUGAUGGUACCAUAUAAAAUUACAUUCAUAAUCACUUACAAGUAACCAUCGAUAUACGAUAGUGACCAUUCGAAGCUACAACAGCACUGAAAAAGGUGACAUGACCGUUUUUCAUACUUAGGAACAUUGCAGCAUCUCCAAUGGUCAUGUGAUCAAAAUUUGGAGGCUUGGUAAUUGCCAUGUAUUUAGAACAGUUGCAUUGUCCUGAGGUCAGGUGAGGUCAGUAUUUGUAACUUUCCCAGCCAGCUUCCCACAAAGUCAAUGGGGGAAGUCAGAUUUGCUGAAUGACAGAAUUAUUCAUUAAACAACUGUGGCAGAAAGAUUGAAAAGUGUUACAAAACACAGUUAACCACUGUCUUGCUUAGCAAUGGAAACACUGGGCUCCAUUGUGGCCAUAAAUCAAGGACGACCUGUAAUUUCUAGUCAACUUUAUUCUACUUCAUGAAAGAGUCGUUUAUUCUACUGCUAUUCAUAUAUCUGUAGUGUAAAGUCCAAACACACCCUUCAGCUCUAAUAAAUGUA